AGAACUAGUCACAUGGCCCCACAUUCCAGCAAAGGAGGCUGGAAAUGCAAAGAAUGACAUGGGAUCUUUGAAGAGUUUCCGGAAAAGCUGCAGCAUUAAACCCAACAAGAAUGUCUGUUCAACAACUGUGCUGAAAAUGAGAUGAUUUGAUUUCGGGAGGUAAAGUAUAUCUUGAAGUUAAAUUCUUGGCUCCACUUUUAAAUCCUCUCAAGUAGGUUAGAAUAGCUGGCUCAUCCUUAACGGAUGGAGCUGGGCACUCCCUUCCCCUAUCAGCCCCUUGAGAGGGUGUAAGAACACACAAGGUCUCCCUUUUGAUGCACAUUUCUCCCCUAUACAGGGGUUACAUAGCACAAGGCUCAGAAGCGGGGAGAGGAAAUGCCUGUGAACCUGGAUUUUAGAUGACAAGAGGGAGCAGGCCCAUCUCCUCUGCAGAGAAUUCCCUCACACUCAAGUCAAGCUUCUGUUCCAGAGCCAGUGACCCUCCUACACCAGCACCUGGACUAUGUCCUGAGGUCACAGGUAGGAAAGUAGGGUAAGAGGAUGUGAAGUCACAACCAGUGAUGACCUGGAGCAGGGGGCUUCUUGGAGGGAAUAUGGUCAGGUUUCUGUGGUCUGAGUGGCAGAUCAGUCUCAAAUGCUUGGCUCUGUGGGGUAAGAUUCCAUCUGACAAGGGCAUUCACAGGAUUCCCAGGGAGGCCCAACUUUUUAACAGUCAGACUUCUCAAUGAAAUUGGCCACCUCAAGGAAAAGACUGUGGUCUCCAUCACAGGCAAGUCCAGACAACCACUGACUUCUCAGCUGGUAUAAAAAGGGGUCAGACAGGAGCGAGGCUAAUGCCCUGGCAAUUCCGACACACUAAGGGGCUUGUUUACAGUCCUGGUUACCUGACAAGUCUGGGCAUUGUCACAGGGUGGCUCGUCAUCUUACUUUGCCCAGAGCAAUCCCAACUUUAGCCCUGAAAACCUUUAGUCUCAGCCAAACGGAGACAACUGGUCACCCUACUUUGUAAGCCCUGUAGGUGACAGCCUCCAAACUCACAUUUAAUCCUUUAGGACCGGGUAAUCCAGUGGUUCAAGGAUGUGACACACCAUGUGUCACCAUCAUUGGUUAUAAAUGCUAAGGUUGAAAAAAAGGGAUCAAAUUUAGAAAGAUUACUUUAAUGAGUGAGUUCAAGAUUGCUCAUAUAUGAACACCAUUCUGACCUAUAUGCAUCCUAAUAUGCUUUCUUGUGUGGGAUGGAAAGAAGUGAAACUCUGGUUAGUUAGCAUGCCAGACACUACUUUUACAGCAGCUGAAGUGAGCAACCUAUCCUGAUAUGAGCCAACUGGGAAAUUAAUAGAGUGCUCCUAUCUCAAAAAAAAAAAAAAAAAA
rnacentral:lncRNA from 1 species